CCUACGGGAGGCAGCAGUGGGGAAUAUUGGACAAUGGGGGGAACCCUGAUCCAGCGACGCCGCGUGAGUGAAGAAGUAUUUCGGUAUGUAAAGCUCUAUCAGCAGGGAAGAAAGGAAUGACGGUAGCAUCUAAAGAAGCCCCGGCUAACUUCGUGCCAGCAGCCGCGGUAAUACGAAGGGGGCAAGCGUUGUUCGGAAUUACUGGGCGUACAGGGAGUGUAGGCGGUUUAGUAAGAUAGUGGUGAAAUCCCAGAGCUUAACUUUGGAAUUGCCAUUAUAACUGGUAGACUAGAAUUACAGAGAGGAUAGUGGAAUACCCAGUGUAGAGGUGAAAUUCGUAGAUAUUGGGUAGAACACCAGUGGCGAAGGCGACUAUCUGGCUGUACAUUGACGCUGAGGCUCGAAAGCAUGGGGAUCAAACAGGAUUAGAUACCCCAGUAGUC
rnacentral:rRNA from 1 species